CCGCCGCGGCCGGGGGCGGAGCGGGGGCUGCCUGCCUCCGGUUACCCCUCGCCCCAGCCCUAAAAUGCGCGCUCGCUGGGCUCCCGGAGCUCAGAGGAAGGCGUAGCUAGAGAUAGCUCGCUCCCUCUCCCUCUCCCUCUCCCUCUCCCUCUCCCUCUCCCUCUCCCUCUCCCUCUCCCUCUCUCUCGCUCUCCCUCUCUCCCUCUCUCUCUCCCUCUCACUCUCUCCCCUGCCCUCCCCCCCCCCCUUGGUGUUUCUUCCAGCUCAGCCUCCUUCUCAUUCCAUCUCUACGUGCCCAGAGCUUCAAACACAACCCUCCCAUCACAGUCAGAUGGCACAAAACUUCAACCCGCCGUUUCUCUGCCUGGAAGCGGUGAAAAUAUAGCCUGGAUGGGUGAAGAUGCUGAGGACCAGAGAAGGUUAGCAGGUAGCCCAAGAACAGCGACAGAGCAGGGCACGAGAUGGGGUUUUUUGCACUUCAUGUGACAUCGGGCUGCACCGUCCACCUGCCAGCGGUUGGGAGCAGUUCCGGGAUCCUCUGCGCAGGAACCAACCGUGCCCAGAGAAGGCCCUCUGCGCUCACAGGCCCCCCCGAGGAGAAGCAAGGAGGAGCCUCUCCUACCCUAGCCCUCUGGUCUGAGAAGAGCCACCAGCACGUCUGCCUCUCCUGCCCUGUCCCAAGUCUCCUCCUCACAGCUUCCCUCUGCAGAGCCAGCCCCAGGUGACCAGCUCUCCUCUCCUGGGGACCACAGGGCCCUGCUCCGCAACCGACCUACAUUCCUCUCAAGUGCUAUUCGCCGCCGCAUUAGUCCCCUCCCAGCCAGCGCACACCCCCACCCCUGCACAAACACCUCCAUCCACCCAAGGACGUGGUAAAAAUAAAAUGAUCACAACCUGG